CAGCAAGGAGGCUCCCUGAGGAACAGUCAGAGGAAGUCUUCCUACAAAAUACCUGCCAGUGAGGUACAGAUCCUGUUUAGUGCUACCUAGAAGAAAACUAGGACACUGAAAUUUGAAGACUUAAUGGAGUUUGGUGCCUUCACUUAUCUGAUGUCUAUGAAGCCUGACACUCCACUUCUCAUCUCUAAGAUCAUACUUAAGCUUCAGUGACAAGCUUCUACUCUGCUAAUGAUUUUAUGAUCUUGUUACCCAUUGUAAUUGCUUAAAUGGCAUUUUAAUUAGUUGCUUUAAAUGACUAUUUUUUAAAAGUCAUGCAGGCUUCAGUUUUAAAUAUGUAUGACUGGUGUUUCUCUAUACAAGAUGAAUGUGUUUAGUACAAAGGGAAAAGAGAAUAUUUGUAGAAGUUUUAGUCAAUCAUUUCUGUACGUCAGAUUAAUUUCUGAAGUAUGAAUAUUUCAAUAUUUUUGUGGAUGUAAUAAUGUUAUUAAAGUUUCCUUAUAUUUGUUUUGGUUCUUACACUUUUUUUGCUUAAAUUCUUUUAUUGGCACAUUUUAGGUAUGC
rnacentral:lncRNA from 1 species